GAUGAACGCUGGCGGCGUGCCUAAUACAUGCAAGUCGAGCGAACGGACGAGAAGCUUGCUUCUCUGAUGUUAGCGGCGGACGGGUGAGUAACACGUGGAUAACCUACCUAUAAGACUGGGAUAACUUCGGGAAACCGGAGCUAAUACCGGAUAAUAUUUUGAACCGCAUGGUUCAAAAGUAAAAGACGGUCUUGCUGUCACUUAUAGAUGGAUCCGCGCUGCAUUAGCUAGUUGGUAAGGUAACGGCUUACCAAGGCAACGAUGCAUAGCCGACCUGAGAGGGUGAUCGGCCACACUGGAACUGAGACACGGUCCAGACUCCUACGGGAGGCAGCAGUAGGGAAUCUUCCGCAAUGGGCGAAAGCCUGACGGAGCAACGCCGCGUGAGUGAUGAAGGUCUUCGGAUCGUAAAACUCUGUUAUUAGGGAAGAACAUAUGUGUAAGUAACUGUGCACAUCUUGACGGUACCUAAUCAGAAAGCCACGGCUAACUACGUGCCAGCAGCCGCGGGUAUACGUAGGUGGGCAGCGUUAUCCGGAAUUAUUGGGCGUAAAGCGCGCGUAGGCGGUUUUUUAGUCUGAUGUGAAAGCCCACGGCUCAACCGUGGAGGGUCAUUGGAAACUGGAAAACUUGAGUGCAGAAGAGGAAAGUGGAAUUCCAUGUGUAGCGGUGAAAUGCGCAGAGAUAUGGAGGAACACCAGUGGCGAAGGCGACUUUCUGGUCUGUAACUGACGCUGAUGUGCGAAAGCGUGGGGAUCAAACAGGACUAGAUACCCUGGUAGUCCACGUCGUAAACGAUGAGUGCUAAGUGUUAGGGGGUUUCCGCCCCUUAGUGCUGCAGCUAACGCAUUAAGCACUCCGCCUGGGGAGUACGACCGCAAGGUUGAAACUCAAAGGAAUUGACGGGGACCCGCACAAGCGGUGGAGCAUGUGGUUUAAUUCGAAGCAACGCGAAGAACCUUACCAAAUCUUGACAUCCUUUGACAACUCUAGAGAUAGAGCUUUCCCCUUCGGGGGACAAAGUGACAGGUGGUGCAUGGUUGUCGUCAGCUCGUGUCGUGAGAUGUUGGGUUAAGUCCCGCAACGAGCGCAACCCUUAAGCUUAGUUGCCAUCAUUAAGUUGGGCACUCUAAGUUGACUGCCGGUGACAAACCGGAGGAAGGUGGGGAUGACGUCAAAUCAUCAUGCCCCUUAUGAUUUGGGCUACACACGUGCUACAAUAGACAAUACAAAGGGCAGCGAAACCGUGAGGUCAAGCAAAUCCCAUAAAGUUGUUCUCAGUUCGGAUUGUAGUCUGCAACUCGACUACAUGAAGCUGGAAUCGCUAGUAAUCGUAGAUCAGCAUGCUACGGUGAAUACGUUCCCGGGUCU
rnacentral:rRNA from 1 species